rnacentral:rRNA from 1 species
CCUACGGGGUGCAGCAGUGGGGGAUAUUGCACAAUGGGGGAAACCCUGAUGCAGCGACGCCGCGUGGGUGAAGAAGCGCCUCGGCGCGUAAAGCCCUGUCAGCAGGGAAGAAAAUGACGGUACCUGAAGAAGAAGCCCCGGCUAACUACGUGCCAGCAGCCGCGGUAAUACGUAGGGGGCAAGCGUGAUCCGGAUUUACUGGGUGUAAAGGGGGCGCAGACGGCGAUGCAAGCAAGGAGUGAAAGCCCGGGGCCCAAACCCGGGACUGCUCUUGGAACUGCGUGGCUAGAGUGCAGGAGGGGCAGGCGGAAUUCCUGGUGUAGCGGUGAAAUGCGUAGAUAUCAGGAGGAACACCGGUGGCGAAGGCGGCUUGCUGGACUGCAACUGACGUUGAGGCCCGAAAGCGUGGGGAGCAAACAGGAUUAGAUACCCUGGUAGUU